AUGGCCAUCUUUGAUGAGUUCUAUGUUGGGUCCAUUGAUCUCGGGCGCCUCAACUACGGGACGAUCUCGCUUAUCCCCAAGGUUCCUGGGGCAGCUGACAUUCGUCAGUUUCGCCCGAUCACGGUGAUAAAUGUGAUCUUCCGUAUUCUGGCAAAAGGGUACGCCAAUAGGGCGACCCUGCUCGUGGACCGCAUUACCCACCCCAACCAAUCGGCCUUCAUCCAAGGACGAUAUGUUCUGGAUGGGGUGUUAGUUCUUCACGAAGUACUCCAUGAGGUCCGGUCCAAACACCUCAAGGCUGUCUUCCUGAAGAUAGAUUUCCAUAAGGCCUAUGACACUGUUAGUUGGCCCUUCCUUCGGGAAGUUCUC
rnacentral:rRNA from 1 species